rnacentral:lncRNA from 1 species
AGGGAGUUACCCACAGUGCUGCAAAGCAGGGUUUGCUGGGAUGCAACUGGAGAGCUGUGCAGAAAUGAAAAGCCCCUGCUGUCCUUUCAGAGAAUGCAGACAUAUAAGAAUGAACAUGGUGUGUCAUAUACGUAUAAUUCAAGACCCUCUACUUAAACCACUGAUUAGUCUUUCCACUCACUGGAUAUCAACGGCGACAAGGAGCUCCACAGAACAGGCACUUACCUACUUCAGAGACCGCCAUAGCUUCUCUCAACAUGCCUCUUAGCAAGCCCACCUCCUGACAUCAGUACAUUCUUCUCUGUAUGGACUGAGGACUGCAAAGUGAGUUCUCACCUCCCCUGAUCUCCC